UACGUAGGGGCGUAGCGUUAUCCGGAAUUACUGGGCGUAAAGGGUGCGUAGGUGGUUUCUUAAGUCAGAGGUGAAAGGCUACGGCUCAACCGUAGUAAGCCUUUGAAACUGGGGAACUUGAGUGCAGGAGAGGAGAGUGGAAUUCCUAGUGUAGCGGUGAAAUGCGUAGAUAUUAGGAGGAACACCGGUGGCGAAGGCGGCUUACUGGACGAUUACUGACGUUGAGGCUCGAAAGCGUGGGGAGCAAACAGGAUUAGAUACCCUGUAGUCCCUGAGCGGGCUGGCAA
rnacentral:rRNA from 1 species